rnacentral:rRNA from 1 species
AUUGAACGCUGGCGGCAUGCCUAACACAUGCAAGUCGAACGAGUGGCGGACGGGUGAGUAAUGUCUGGGAAACUGCCCAGUAGAGGGGGAUAACUACUGGAAACGGUGGCUAAUACCGCAUACCAUCGGAUGUGCCCAGAUGGGAUUAGCUAGUAGGUGGGGUAAAGGCUCACCUAGGCGACGAUCCCUAGCUGGUCUGAGAGGAUGACCAGCCACACUGGAACUGAGACACGGCCCAGACUCCUACGGGAGGCAGCAGUGGGGAAUAUUGCACAAUGGGCGCAAGCCUGAUGCAGCCAUGCCGCGUGUAUGAAGAAGGCCUUCGGGUUGUAAAGUACUUUUAGCGAGGAGGCGUUACUCGCAGAAGAAGCACCGGCUAACUCCGUGCCAGCAGCCGCGGUAAUAC